ensembl:lncRNA
CACACACACACACACACACACACACACACACACACACACACACACACCGCCCAGGCAGAGCUCCACACGUCCUCACACACCUUGGUCUUGACAUCUCAGAAAAGGCACUCAGACAUCAAGUAAAGAUCGCCUCCUGCGCUCACAGCAGAGUAGAACGGUCACAUAGUGUUUUCGGGAGAAUGGCAUCAACAUAGGAUUUUACGCCUUUCUCUAAAUGACAGGUUAAUUUUCAGUAACGGUGAUGAAAUGAAAUAGAUAACCUUGACGAUCAUAUAAGCCAUAUUACCACGUUUGGGUUCUUUAAGUUAGUCUUUUGGGUUGAUACAUCAUACCAACUUCUUUAGUCCUAAAGUGUUCACUGCCAUUAAGUUCAACUGGACACUAGCUCCAACAGGCCUACCCAGAAAUAAAAUAGCUUCGCUCUGCAUGUUCAUUUAUUGCAUUGCCACUGUGCCUUGUUCAUCUGAUAUUGUUUCAUUUCAGUGUCACUGUUGAUUCUUCUAUAGCUUACCCUCCUUUUCUAAUUGACCGUCCCUGGCCCGUUUGAUCCUUGUUGUGCAUUCCUCUAGCUAUGUGAAGCAGGUAGAUGCUCUACUCUGUGCUUUAAAUUGGAUUUGGGAAUAAAGCAAGCCACCAGCUGGGCACUUUGUUUUUGAGUUUGUUCUUAGACAUUUUUUAAUCACAGCUUAGCAGUAAAUGUUUGUCACUUUCUGUGUUUGCUCGAUACCUUCCAAACAAAUCCUGUACUUUAAAAGUCUUCAAAAAAAAUGGCAAAUCUAUCAGGUUUUUCUACAGCAACAUAAAACAAACAAAAAGUACAACAAAGCCAACAGAACAAGCCCCCCAGAAUGACCCGUUUGAACCCCCAGAGUCGGUUAAAGUGAACGUUGCACCCAUCUUUUCGCCAUCGCCAUCAGGGACCUUUGGUUCACCCACUGCUAACACACACAGAUACACACAACCGUCCCGCCUCAGACCGCGUUCCCCACGGAGGGGGCGUCAGACGAGCUGCGCCUGUAGGUGGCGUCCUCGGGGUCCAGGCUGGCCCGGCGGGGAGCCCGCCUGGGGGCCUUCGGCGAGGGCUGGAUGGAGCAGCGGAAGCAGAAGGCGUAGAAGAACGCCACCAGCAGCAGGAGACACACCACCGAGAAGAUGGCGACGAUGAGCACAGAGUGCAGCUGCAGAUACACCUCCCCCGCAGGGGUGGGGCCGGGGGUGGUGGGGAGGAAGAGGUCGAAGGUCAGGCUCUCCGUCAUGUUGAGGAGGAGCGUCACGGCCGGAGGUCCUGGGGCCG